rnacentral:rRNA from 1 species
UAACAAGGUCUCCGUUGGUGAACCAGCGGAGGGAUCAUUACUGAGUUUACGCUCUACAACCCUUUGUGAACAUACCUAUAACUGUUGCUUCGGCGGGUAGGGUCUCCGUGACCCUCCCGGCCUCCCGCCCCCGGGCGGGUCGGCGCCCGCCGGAGGAUAACCAAACUCUGAUUUAACGACGUUUCUUCUGAGUGGUACAAGCAAAUAAUCAAAACUUUUAACAACGGAUCUCUUGGUUCUGGCAUCGAUGAAGAACGCAGCGAAAUGCGAUAAGUAAUGUGAAUUGCAGAAUUCAGUGAAUCAUCGAAUCUUUGAACGCACAUUGCGCCCGCCAGCAUUCUGGCGGGCAUGCCUGUUCGAGCGUCAUUUCAACCCUCAAGCUCUGCUUGGUGUUGGGGCCCUACAGCUGAUGUAGGCCCUCAAAGGUAGUGGCGGACCCUCCCGGAGCCUCCUUUGCGUAGUAACUUUACGUCUCGCACUGGGAUCCGGAGGGACUCUUGCCGUAAAACCCCCAAUUUUCCAAAGGUUGACCUCGGAUCAGGUAGGAAUACCCGCUGAACUUAAGCAUAUCAA